GAGAGGGUGAUCGGCCACACUGGGACUGAGACACGGCCCAGACUCCUACGGGAGGCAGCAGUAGGGAAUCUUCCACAAUGGACGAAAGUCUGAUGGAGCAACGCCGCGUGAGUGAUGAAGGUUUUCGGAUCGUAAAACUCUGUUGUAAGGGAAGAACAGAUACGAGAGGUAAUGCUCGUAUCCUGACGGUACCUUGCGAGAAAGCCACGGCUAACUACGUGCCAGCAGCCGCGGUAAUACGUAGGUGGCAAGCGUUGUCCGGAAUUAUUGGGCGUAAAGCGUGCGCAGGCGGCCUUUUAAGUCUGAUGUGAAAGCCCCCGGCUCAACCGGGGAGGGUCAUUGGAAACUGGAAGGCUUGAGUACAGAAGAGAAGAGUGGAAUUCCAUGUGUAGCGGUGAAAUGCGUAGAGAUGUGGAGGAGCACCAGUGGCGAAGGCGACUCUUUGGUCUGUAACUGACGCUGAGGCGCGAAAGCGUGGGGAGCAAACAGGAUUAGAUACCCUGGUAGUCCACGCCGUAAACGAUGAGUGCUAGGUGUUGGGGGGUUUCCGCCCCUCAGUGCUGAAGCUAACGCAUUAAGCACUCCGCCUGGGGAGUACGGCCGCAAGGCUGAAACUCAAAGGAAUUGACGGG
rnacentral:rRNA from 1 species